rnacentral:rRNA from 1 species
GAUGAACGCUGGCGGCGUGCCUAAUACAUGCAAGUCGAGCGAGCGGACGAGAAGCUUGCUUCUCUGAUGUUAGCGGCGGACGGGUGAGUAACACGUGGAUAACCUACCUAUAAGACUGGGAUAACUUCGGGAAACCGGAGCUAAUACCGGAUGAUAUUUUGAACCGCAGGGUUCAAAAGUGAAAGACGGUCUUGCUGUCACUUAUAGAUGGAUCCGCGCUGCAUUAGCUAGUUGGUAAGGUAACGGCUUACCAAGGCAACGAUGCAUAGCCGACCGGAGAGGGUGGUCGGCCACACUGGAACUGGGCCACCGUCCUGGCUCCUACGGUACGCAGCAGUAGGGAAUCUUCCGCAACGGUCGAAAGCCUGACGGAGCAACGCCGCGUGAGUGAUGAAGGUCUUCCGAUCGUAAUACUCUGUUAUUAGUGAAGAACAUAUGUGUAAGUAACUGUGCACAUCUUGACGGUACCUAAUCAGAAAGCCACGGCUAACUACGUG